rnacentral:rRNA from 1 species
AUGAAUGUUGCGCUCAUGCUGAGAUGGGUUUGGAGGAUCUUGCGAGGCGAUGGGGGCUUGUGGCUUCAUAUCAUCCAAGCAAAAUACCUAAGGGGUGAACCCAUGUUGGCAUGCUCCCACUCAGGAGGAUCCCAGUUUUGGCGAUCCAUCCAUAGGAUCAAGGAGGACAUUCGUUUAAGAAUUUCCUUCUCUAUAGGUAAUGGGGAGGGGACCCAAUUCUGGCUGGGCCCAUGGAUGGGUACCGAACCCCUCAGGGUAGGAUUCCCCAUCCUAAUUUCUAUCUGCAUGGACCCGUUGCUCCUCAUCUCCGUGGCUGCAUGCUCUUGGCACUGGGAUAUACGGUUCCGCCGGACGUUUGGGCAGGUGGAGAAUAUCGAGUGGUCUAGGCUACAGGCAGCCCUACCGCUGGUAUUGUCGGAUCACCCGGACACCGUGUCCUGGCGGCUUUCACCAUCGGGAGAGUUCUCCAUCAAUUCCACAUACUAG